AACGGUGUGCUUAAUACAUGCAAGUCGAACGAGCAAUGUGAGAGUGGCAACACUCCUGCAAAGCUAGUGGCGAACGGGUGAGUAACGCGUAGGUAAUCUACCUUAGAGAUUAGGAUAACCUUUCGAAAGGAAGGCUAAUACUAAAUAUUUUAUAUUUUUCGUAUGAUUAAUAUAACAAAGGUAGCCGCAAGGCCUCCGCUUUAAGAUGAGCCUGCGCCCUAUUAGCUUGUUGGUAAGGUAAUGGCUUACCAAAGCUAUGAUGGGUAGCCGGCCUGAGAGGGUGAUCGGCCACACUGGGACUGAGAUACGGCCCAGACUCCUACGGGAGGCAGCAGUAGGGAAUAUUGCGCAAUGGGCGAAAGCCUGACGCAGCGACACCGUGUGAAGGAUGAAGGUCUUCGGAUCGUAAACUUCUGUCAAUCGGGGACGAAGGUAAUAAGGUUAAUAGCCUUUAUUAUUGACGGUACCCAAUAAGGAAGUCUCGGCUAACUCCGUGCCAGCAGCCGCGGUAAGACGGAGGAGGCAGGCGUUGUCCGGAAUCAUUGGGCGUAAAGAGCGCGUAGGCGGUUUUUCAAGUCGUAUGUGAAAACUUCAGGCUUAACCUGAUGAUUGCAUAUGAAACUGGAUAACUUGAGUACAGCAGAGGAAAGUGGAAUUCCUGGUGUAGCGGUGAAAUGUGCAGAUAUCAGGAAGAACACCGGUAGCGAAGGCGGCUUUCUGGGCUGUAACUGACGCUGAGGCGCGAAAGCUAGGGGAGCGAACAGGAUUAGAUACCCUGGUAGUCCUAGCCGUAAACGAUGGACACUAGGUGUGGGAAGUUAUCGACGCUUUCUGUGCCGAAGCUAACGCAUUAAGUGUCCCGCCUGGGGAGUACGGCCGCAAGGCUAAAACUCAAAGGAAUUGACGGGGGCCCGCACAAGCGGCGGAGCAUGUGGCUUAAUUCGACGCAACGCGAAGAACCUUACCAAGGCUUGACAU
rnacentral:rRNA from 1 species